rnacentral:lncRNA from 1 species
CCCCGCCCCUCAAGGACAGAGUCAGCACCUGCCCUCACCUGGUACAUUGGUAACCAAGCCCAGAGCCGGAGCAGAAGCAGGAGUAAGCUGAGGCAGCAGCCACAGAAGGGGACUACACCCCCAUCCCUGGCCUAGCCUGAGCCUAUCACUGGAGCUUCAGGGAUUCCCAGGUUUUGGAGAGGCCUCAUCCCUGCCUUGUACCUGACAACUCUGUUGAGGAGCACCUCUACUAAUGAGCAUUGAUCACCCAUGCAACUUUUCCAGUGCCGACUAUCGAUGCAAUGUGCUCAGCCUGCAGGCCCCAGUGAUCGUCAUUCCGGUGUUGCUCUCCUCCUCCACACUGCUUGUGAUUGGCUGCAUUGUCUGGAAGACAUGCCGGAGGUUGAGGACUGCCAGACAGGGCUCCCCAUCCCAGUGACAGGUAAGCCUAGGCCUGCCCUGGAAAUAACAGUAACAGUAAUGGUAACUCACAUCAAUCUCUCACAUGUGUAUAGUGAUCUACAAUAAAGCAAUUCCAUGUCUUUUAUCCUACAUAAUCCAUACAACCAC